rnacentral:rRNA from 1 species
CCCUUAGAUGUUCUGGGCCGCACGCGUGCUACACUGAGUGGGUCAGCGGGUCAGGUUGCGCGAAAGUGUUUCCUAAUCUUGAAAUCCGCUCGUGAUGGGGAUUGACGGUUGCAAUUUUCCGUCAUGAACGAGGAAUACCUUGUAAGCGCGGGUCAUCAUCCCGCGCUGAAUACGUCCCUGCCCUCUGUACACACCGCCCGUCGCUCCUACCGAUUGAGUGGUCCGGUGAGGCUUUGGGAUCUGAGCGGAAAGAGCGUUUCGCUGUUUCUGCUCGGAAAACUCAGUCGAACCUUAUCAUUUAGAGGAAGGAGAAGUCGUAACA